rnacentral:rRNA from 1 species
GAUGAACGCUGGCGGCGUGCUUAACACAUGCAAGUCGAGCGAAGCGGAUCUUCGGAAGUUUUCGGAUGGAAGAGGAUUUGACUUAGCGGCGGACGGGUGAGUAACGCGUGGGUAACCUGCCUUACACUGGGGGAUAACAGUUAGAAAUGACUGCUAAUACCGCAUAAGCGCACAGGGCCGCAUGGUCUGGUGUGAAAAACUCCGGUGGUGUAAGAUGGACCCGCGUCUGAUUAGGUAGUUGGCGGGGUAACGGCCCACCAAGCCGACGAUCAGUAGCCGACCUGAGAGGGUGACCGGCCACAUUGGGACUGAGACACGGCCCAAACUCCUACGGGAGGCAGCAGUGGGGAAUAUUGGACAAUGGGCGAAAGCCUGAUCCAGCGACGCCGCGUGAGUGAAGAAGUAUUUCGGUAUGUAAAGCUCUAUCAGCAGGGAAGAAAAUGACGGUACCUGACUAAGAAGCCCCGGCUAACUACGUGCCAGCAGCCGCGGUAAUACGUAGGGGGCAAGCGUUAUCCGGAUUUACUGGGUGUAAAGGGAGCGUAGACGGUUUAGCAAGUCUGAAGUGAAAGCCCGGGGCUCAACCCCGGUACUGCUUUGGAAACUGUUAGACUUGAGUGCAGGAGAGGUAAGUGGAAUUCCUAGUGUAGCGGUGAAAUGCGUAGAUAUUAGGAGGAACACCAGUGGCGAAGGCGGCUUACUGGACUGUAACUGACGUUGAGGCUCGAAAGCGUGGGGAGCAAACAGGAUUAGAUACCCUGGUAGUCCACGCCGUAAACGAUGAAAUACUAGGUGUCGGGGGGGCAAAGCCCUUCGGGUGCCGCCCGCAAACGCAAUAAAGUAUUCCACCUGGGGAGUACGUUCGCAAGAAUGAAACUCAAAAGAAUGACCGGGACCCGCACAAGCGGUGGAGCAUGUGGUUUAAUUCGAAGCAACGCGAAGAACCUUACCAAGUCUUGACAUCCCACUGAAAACACUUUAACCGGUGUCCCUCUUCGGAGCAGUGGAGACAGGUGGUGCAUGGUUGUCGUCAGCUCGUGUCGUGAGAUGUUGGGUUGAGUCCCGCAACGAGCGCAACCCUUAUCCUUAGUAGCCAGCACAUGAUGGUGGGCACUCUGGGGAGACUGCCAGGGAUAACCUGGAGGAAGGUGGGGAUGACGUCAAAUCAUCAUGCCCCUUAUGAUUUGGGCUACACACGUGCUACAAUGGCGUAAACAAAGGGAGGCAAAGGAGCGAUCUGGAGCAAACCCCAAAAAUAACGUCUCAGUUCGGAUUGCAGGCUGCAACUCGCCUGCAUGAAGCUGGAAUCGCUAGUAAUCGCGAAUCAGAAUGUCGCGGUGAAUACGUUCCCGGGUCUUGCAC